GAAAUGCGAUAAGUAAUGUGAAUUGCAGAAUUCAGUGAAUCAUCGAAUCUUUGAACGCACAUUGCGCCCGCUAGUACUCUAGCGGGCAUGCCUGUUCGAGCGUCAUUUCAACCCUCAAGCUCUGCUUGGUGUUGGGGCUCUACGUCUGACGUAGGCCCUGAAAGGAAGUGGCGGGCUCGCUACAACUCCGAGCGUAGUAAUUCAUUAUCUCGCUAGGGAAGUGUGGCGUGCUCCUGCCGUUAAAGACCCCAUCUUUAACCAAGGUUGACCUCGGAUCAGGUAGGAAUACCCGCUGAACUUAA
rnacentral:misc_RNA from 1 species